GCCGUCUUAGCUCAGUUGGUAGAGCAACGCUUUCGUAAAGCGUAGGUCGUCGGUUCGAUCCCGACAGACGGCU
rnacentral:tRNA from 1 species